CUCCCCUUGCAGCAACUUCUUCCAACAGCCUCUUCCAACGGACCCCCUGACACUCCUCCCUAAUGCCUCGCCCAUCUCGCAGGGCACAAAGAAAUCUCAGUCUCCUUCCAUAAACUUUGUGCCUACCGCUCCCCUCCUGGAGCCCCGGCCCUCCGCCCUUCCAGUUUCUUGGCAGGAAGGUUUAGGCCACUGGCAAAGUCCCCGGCGAAAGCCAGCUGAUCACAAAUGCCAACUGUGUGUCUUGGGGCCCGUUAAGUCCUCUCGUCUGCCCAGGCUCUCAGGAGACCAUUUCAUUGCUGUCAGAGUUCCCGGGAGACUGCUGCGGGCGAGGACCAUCACCCCCCCCCCCCCCCCCACUAGGCCCAAAAGGAUGGGGUGCUGAGCUGUGUCACAGCGCUUUUCUGGGGCAUCUUGCUUCAGAGUUUUCCAUUUGAAAUAGUAAAAUUCCGGAAUCGGGAGUCAGGCAGAUUUUUUUUUUUUUCUCUUUCUCACAUCCAAAAGGACGAUGGUUAGCUGGAUGAUUCGCUCUUAGAUAGGAAGGGAUCUAUCGUCUCUCAUUGGACAUACUAACUUUGCAUGAAGUCUGUGGAAGUUCUGCAGUUUCACCCUGCCCCCCGUGACCUUCCGAAACUGCCCCCGUGACCUUCCAGUUUCUUAGUACUGCCACAGGGAAGCACCGUGGAGCUAAUAAAAGAUUUGAUAUUGUCAUAAUUUUUCAAUCAGGGGAUCAACAAAUUGAUCAAGAAACUGCCCAGGCCAAUCUCACAAGACAGCAGGCUGCCUUCUUUAUUAUGGAAAUUCCUACACUUCCGGCAAGGAGCUUCUUGUUCAGAUUUUUGAAGUCCGCCAUGUGAGCUGUCAGUAGUUACUUUCCAUGUCCGGUCCGAAACUUUUCUCCUUCGUUGGGGUUUGUAGAUGGAGACUUCUUGUAGUCACACGGAGGUAGAGUCAGAGACAAGCACACGUGUUUGCUGUUUUGUGAAUUUAGUAGAGCCCUUCCAGGAGACUCUAGGACAAAUUUACAGAGAAUAGCUAGAUCUUACCACAAAUCUUGCCUUUUGCCAAAUUUCACAUGGAUGAAUCCACAUGUUAAAUAUAGUAUAAAUUGUUAAAUUGUACACGUGGGAGGCUGCUUCAGAUUGAAGGAGUACUGUGAGAUACACCUAGCUCCUAUCUUAUGUCACUUGGUUGACAUGUAAAAAUUUAGGUCGUGAUUUAAAAUCAAAUAUAGAAACGAAAACAGUCAUUUGUGAGCA
ensembl:lncRNA